rnacentral:rRNA from 1 species
UACGUAGGGGGCCAGCGUUGUCCGGAAUCAUUGGGCGUAAAGGGUUCGUAGGUGGCCAACUAAGUCAGACGUGAAAUCCCUCAGCUUAACUGGGGAACUGCGUCUGAUACUGGUUGGCUUGAGUGCAGGAGAGGAACGCGGAAUUCCAGGUGUAGCGGUGAAAUGCGUAGAUAUCUGGAGGAACACCGGCGGCGAAGGCGGCGUCUGGACUGCAACUGACACUGAGGAACGAAAGCCAGGGGAGCAAACGGG